rnacentral:rRNA from 1 species
CGCGUAGGGCGCAAGCGUUGUCCGGAAUUAUUGGGCGUAAGAGCUACGUAGGCGGUCUGUUGCGUCCGCUGUGAAAACCCGGGGCUUAACCCCUGGCUUGCAGUGGAUACGGACAGACUAGAGGUAGGUAGGGGAGAAUGGAAUUCCCGGUGUAGCGGUGAAAUGCGCAGAUAUCAGGAGGAACACCGGUGGCGAAGGCGGGAUCUCUGGGCCGAUACUGACGCUGAGGAGCGAAAGCGUGGGGAGCGAACAGG